UACGUAGGGUGCGAGCGUUGUCCGGAUUUAUUGGGCGUAAAGGGCUCGUAGGCGGCGUGUCGCGUCAGGAGUGAAAGACCGGGGCUUAACCCCGGUUCUGCUUCCGGUACGGGCAUGCUGGAGUGUGGCAGGGGAGACUGGAAUUCCUGGUGUAGCGGUGGAAUGCGCAGAUAUCAGGAGGAACACCGGUGGCGAAGGCGGGUCUCUGGGCCAUUACUGACGCUGAGGAGCGAAAGCGUGGGGAGCGAACAGG
rnacentral:rRNA from 1 species